GCUGAUUGGCCGGCGGGCCACAAGUGGGCGGAGUCGGGUCAGCGCGCUGGAGGCUCGAGGUUCAACACCUUAAACACCUUAUGGAGACGCUGUCGAGGAUUAGGACAAAAUAAACUGAACACCAACGGAAAGAUGAGGAAAUCUAUGGCAGCUUCAUUGAUCUUAGCUCUGGUAUUAAUACAUCCCAUCAGUACGUCGUUUUCUGCCCGUCCUGAGGAUUUGGAGGGAUCGGGAUAUGAAUUGGACAGUUUAGGCUCUGGUUCAGGGGAUUGGUCCGAACAAGGAAACAUCAAGGAUCAACCCAGCAGCAAAGGAACCAGGAAUACUUCCCAAGGUUCUCCGGUCCUGAACUUUGAUGAUACAUACAAAGGCAGCGGAUCGGGAUAUAUUGUUGUGGCAAACAGCAAAAGUUUCUUGGCGAACAAACAAAUCGUUGCAGCUGUUAUUGCAGGAGGAGUUGUAGGGGUUGCAUUUGCGGCUGCACUGGCAGCACUAUUAAUCUACAUGUGGCAGAAGAAAGAUAACGGAGGAUACAUUCAGGGUCAGCAGAGGACUUCAGAUGGAAAUUAUCACAGACCCAACAGGGAGGUAGUUCUUGUUUAACUUAAAACUGCCACUUGUGUUUUGAUGGCCAAUGUCUGUAACAUGGGAACUACUGUAAAUGUGUUGUUAUAUCAGCUAUACUUGCACUCAAUGGAAAUGCAUCUGCAGUUGUUCAUUGAUAAUUUAUUUAUAUUUUUGAUGAAUUACAAGAGUCUUUAUUUACUACCUGUGUCAAAGAUUUGUUGGCCAAAGUAAUAAUAACUUUAUUUAUAUAGCACUUUUCAAAACAGAGUCUGAAGGAGAUAAAAGCAUGAAUAACUCCUCUGCAGCCGAAAGGAAUAACCUGAUUUUGUGAAUAUGUUUUAAUUGAGCAAAGCAGAUCUGCAACACUGAGGACAUUGGAGUUCUUAACUUGAACUUUCUAUUUUUGUAAAAAAUCAGCUGUAGUCAGCAGAUGUAUAUGAUCAUUGUUGACUUGUGGUUGUAUGCUUGAAAGAAGUUGGUCGUAGAUGCAAUAUGUGAUUAAUUAAUGAUCAAUCCUGUAUGAUGAACUUUACAAUAUUAUUGUUUUUAAGACCAAGAGUCACUUUACAAUAACUAUUUUGUGCAGCAAAUACUUGAUAUCUCUUUUUUGUGGAAGACAUUUUGAUGUCACAGGUGUAAAUAAUGAAAUUAUUAAUGACUGAAUUCCAUUUAGCUGCUUAGGUUUUGGGGUUGGGGUUGUUUUGCCGUUGUUAAAGGGGAACGAGGCACAUUGUCAAAAACAUUCAUGUUAUUUCUCUGGUCUCAGACAUUCCAACAAUAUUAGUGAACAUGAACAACUCGCUCCAAAAUCGACAACUAGUGUGUUCAAAUUCAAAUAUGUGAUGUCAUCAUGUAAAAAGUGUAACUGCUCCAAUGGCAAUGCAUUGUGGAAGAUGUUGUAGAUGACACAGAGUACUAAGGGGAUUGUUCUGAUGACUGGGAACCCUACAAGACAAUGAAGCUCAUUUGGGAAUAAAAAAGAAACAAACGUUCUGUGGGUCCACAAAAUCCAUCUCCACUUAAUUGUCAAUGGAGCAGCUCCAGACUUUACAAGCUAUUAGAUAAAAACACAAGUUUGAGACGUCUGGCUGUGAGAGAAAUUAUCUUGUGUUCAAAAAUAUUGAUUGGACUUCCCUCGGCCAUGGAAAUAACAUAUUGUACUUCGGAAUUUAGGUGGUGUUCUCCUUUUCUUCUAUUGGUAACACUUGUGCCUUUCCUACUAUUCAAAGCCAAAAUGUCUGCUGUAAACAUGCUGUAAAUGUCUGCUAUGUUACACCCAGGUGUAACAGGGCUUUCAAAGCUGGGUGCAGGACUAAUGAUAUCAGUAUUUCUAAAAUUAUGUCUACAGCCCUGGUUGUACUAAAUAAAUAAUCCAUGUGAUAUGAAAAAUGAAUGAAGAAUCUAGGGGGAAACUCAUACGAGGGUGUGUAUAAUGGAUUUAAUGAUGAUCGGCUGCUGAAAUAUAUAAUUUGAUUACUGGGCUGCUCAUCCCAAAGUCCAAAGACAUACAAUUUAGGUUAAUUGGUGACUCGAAAGUGCCAUGUAGGUGUGGAUGUGAGCGUGAAUAGUUGUCUGUCCCAAUGUCAGCUGGGAUCCGCCCCCCCGUGACCUAGAACAGGAUAAGCAGUUACGGAUAAACGAUAGAUAAAUAUACUUUACUGUAUGUCAUGAAAUCAUAUUUACUAUGUAUACAUUACAUAAUUGUUAAUACAUUUGCUUUACAAGUGUUACCCCUUAACGUUUGUUGUUGUUUGUUUUGUUUUAUGAGCCUAUAUUGAGAGCAUAAAUACAGUUUGUUUAAAUGAACUUCCAUUUAACAAUGAGAGGAUAUUAUGUACAUGCUAUUGCACCGUGUGUAUUAUACUAUAAUGCUUUUCUCGCAUGGUAAUCCAGCCAUACCUUCAUGGGAAGCUUAAUUGAACUAGACAUGAUUUUCAUCAUUUUACUUCCAUCACGGCCUGGAAUAUCUUCACGGCUAUUGGAUGAACCUCCCGUCAGUCAAAAGUAAACCUCUGGUCCCCGCCCUCUUACUGCCUGUCAGAGCGUUUGUUUUUACCCCUGGUGUCGCACGGGGGUUGUCAAGGAAGUGGUGGGCGUUCCUCCCCGUUAGUUCGCUGACUGUUGAUGCCGAAAAGAUUUCUCUC
rnacentral:lncRNA from 1 species